rnacentral:tRNA from 2 species
GUGGCUAUGGUGAAGUGGUUAACACGGCGGAUUGUGGUUCCGUUAUUCGAGGGUUCGAGACCCUCUAGUCACCCCA